rnacentral:snRNA from 1 species
GUUCUCGCUUCGGCAGCACUUAGACUAAAAUUGGAACAAUUCAGAGAAGAUCAGCAUGGCCUCUGCAGAAGUAUGGCUUGCAAAUUUAUGAAGCAUUCUAUAAUUUU